GACUCCUCCAUCUUCUUCUUCUUGCUGCUCGACGGAACCGAGCAGACCAGCGGAGCCGAAGAAGUCGCACGCCUCCGCCGUUCGCCGUCGCCGCCCGUCCGCACCCUAGCUGCUCCGCCCCUCCACCCGCUCGCCGUCGCUUAGCCGCGCCACCGUCGCCCUCUCUUCUCCAUCUCCAGUUGCUGCUCGUGUCCCAGCAGAUCUGGGAAGACGCCGGAGCAGCCAGCAGUCUAGUCGGACUGCCGUCGCGCCCCGCUUGCCGCCGUCCGCCUCUCGCGACACCCCGCCGUCCUCGCGCAGGAAGCCUGCUCGUCCCUGCUGUUCCGCGAGUCCAGCAGUCAUUCCAGAUCUGGGGAAGCUCAGCCGGAGCCGCCCAGCUCACCUCCGGCCACCGUGAAGCCCCGCCUAGGUCCGGUUCAGCUCCUCCGCCCAUUCCCGACCCCAACCAGCCCCGGAUCUGCUCAUUUUCGGCCCCAACCAGCAGCGAGCAGAGAGUUGGAAAAUGGGUAUGCAGCGGACGUUUGGCCCGUUUUGGCCGCCUUCCCGAGCCCGGAUGCUCGGCCCGCCUUGAGGAAAGUUGUUCUCCUCGGCGUCCCCGUCGUUUUGGUCCGCUCGGCUCGCUAAUCCAGUGAGUUUAGCUCACUAAACCUCGGUUAGAGGGUUAAUUAUGCUUUAGGUGUGCUUAGCUUAAGUUGAUUAAGCUUAGGUGGUUAAUUUAGUUGAUUUAAUUAUGAUUUAGAUUAAGUUGUUUGUUUAAUCUAAAGUAUGUUUAAUUAAAUGCUAAGAGAGUUUAUUUAAAGUUAAGUGGGUGUUUAUAUUAAUAUAAACAUUGAUGUGACAUAAAGGAAUUUACCUUUGGUUUAUUUAAAUAUCUCGAAAUUAUUUAAUAAUUUAAUAAUUUAUUAUUAUUCGAAAUUAUUAAAAUAUUAUUAUUUAAUUAUUUUCGGAAUAAAUUUAAUUAUUUAUUAAAUUCCGAAAAUUUUGGUCGGGACCCUAAAUUCUCAGAAUUUCGUGUCGGUCGCUACGUUACAUUCGGAUUUUGAAAUUGAUGAUUGGAUAUUAUAAAUUGAGUGUGGAUUUCGAAAACUAUGGAUAUUAUUAUUUAAUUAUUUUCGGAAUAAAUUUAAUUAUUUAUUAAAUUCCGAAAAUCUUCAUUGGGACCUUAUUUGCUCAGAAUUUCGUGCCGAUCGUUGCUGUGCAUUUAGAAUUUGAAAUUGAUGAUUGGUUGUGAUGAAUUGAGUGUGAUUGUGAUUUAUAGGGAUUCUUUACGAAAUCCUAAGCGUAGAAAUUGAUGGGAGAUUGGCUGUGAAAUACCACCUAUUAGAGGUCGUGCCCAGAGAGGCCGUGAUAAACCACCUUGGAAAGGUCGUGCCCGAUGAGGCCGUGAAAAACCACCUACAAGAGGUCGUGCCCGAUGAGGCCGUGAAAUACCACCUAUUAGAGGUCGUGCCCAGAGAGGCCGUGAUAAACCACCUAUGAAAGGUCGUGCCCAGAGAGGCCGUGAUAAACCACCUAUGAAAGGUCGUGCCCAGAGAGGCCGUGAUAAACCACCUAUGAGAGGUCGUGCCCAGAGAGGCCGUGAUAAACCACCUUGGAAAGGUCGUGCCCGAUGAGGCCGUGAAAAACCACCUACAAGAGGUCGUGCCCGAUGAGGCCGUGAAUUACCACCUGAUUACAGGUCGUGCCGAGUGGGGCCGUGAUGCCACUGAUUUAAAUUUGCCGAGUAGGGCCGUAGUUGAGAGCAAUGAUUGAUUUGCUAGAAUGACAUGUAAUCGGCCGAGUCGAUUGAUCGCUGAGACGAUCCAAGUGGUUGAAUGGUUUGUUAAUGUGAUUGUGCCAUGGUUGUUUGGUUAUCAUAAUUGUACGUGAUUGGAUUAUAUAAAUUGUGCUAACCUGCAGAUGAAGGCUGAGGCGAGGUAAGUCUUCUGUGUGAUGUGGCUAGGCCACCCGGGGCGUAUUUUCUUUCUAAUAGGGGUUUAGGGGGUUGAACUUGCUGAGACAUCGUCUCAUCCCGGUUGUGGGAUUAAAAUUUCAGGUCCCUGGUGGACGGAGCGGCCAGAUAGCUUUGAUUGGCCUUGAGGAGUUACAGAGGUGAAGUCAUAAGGGUUGGAGAGCGUGUCCUGCUAGUUGGUUGUAGGAUAGUCCCCCUUUUGUCGAGCUGGUCUAUUUUGUAGAAAGUACAGUGUUGUAUUUAAACCCUUUGUGUUUGUAAAUGAGUGUUUGGUAUUGUGAUUGAUUGCCUGCUUUUCUAUCCCAAGUUAAAUGUUGUCAGGGGAUUUGUUUCGCUUCCGCAUGCGUAAAGAAAUGAAUGGGUCGGCGACAUAUCCUGGGAUGUCGCAUUUUUGAUCGACCGUAGUGGGAUGUGCACGCGCUCGAGGUUCGGGGCGUGACAUCCCCGUUUAAGUGGUAUCAGAGCAUGGUCUGUGUAUGGAGUGAUAAGGUGCGAGGAGUCAUGGGAUAGUUAGUAGGAAAGGCUUUUAAUAUGCUGAUGCAUGUGGUUGAUAGCUGCUUGGUAGCUUGUUUGUGGGGUCACUCAAAUUCUAACCUGAUGUUGGAAUUGAAAACAGGCAUCGAUAAAGAGCUUGUAGGAUGAGUGACCAGGAGUGGAGUACUCCUUGGAAGAGGUCAAUAGGACCUGUACCUCGGGGUAGGAUGCUGACAAGAGUUGGUACCCGAGGUAGAGCGCAGGCUUAGACCAGCGCGAGUGUGAGAGUACCGCCGGAAGUUGGUACUGAGAGUGUUAUAGCACCGAAUGAUCCUAGGUUUAAUGAGAUCGUUAAGGCGCUAGUGUUCCUUGGAAGCUCGUUGGGUCAGUAAGUUCAGGACCGAGCCGCCGCUGUUGCCGCUAUUUCUACCGCUGCCAGUGUUGUGACCGUUGUUAUUGUCAUGCCUGUUGAGGCCUAAUAUGGAGUUGUGAUCGAGGAUCAAGCCGCCGUAUCUUAGUAAAGGUUCAGUUUAGACAGAGAUUGAAAUCGAUUGGGGAGAAAGGCUGAUGUCAGAUGAAAGGUGUCCUGUUUCACCCAACCGGAAGAGUAGAGUUGGAAAGUUAGUGCUCAACUCGAUCGAUGCGUGUCGUGUUUGUAAGAAAAGACAUGGAUUUGUUCCGUGCUGUAAGAGGGAAAUGACUUGUUACAGGUGUUGCUAGUAAAGCCAUUUGAUCAAAGAUGGCUUGUAUAGAUGGACGGAACUAUAGCUGUUUCUGCACCGCCGUUGAUAAGACAGAACAUAGGAAAUAUGCUUCGGGACAUUUGAUGGGGUACUUGGAACAGACCCCAGUGCAAAGAAGGGUGCAUGAUAUUCCUUGAUAGAAGGUAGAUGACUCCCUGAUUGUGUGCCGAGUCAGUGGAAAGGAGGCAUGAGUUAGCCCGGUGUCAGAGUAAAAAGGGGAGCAUGCUUUGAGUGUGGCCAGCACGGCCAUCGAGUUAGGAACUGUCUGCGUAAGUUCAGGAGAGCGUAAGUACCGUACUGCAGAUAGGACGCCACUAGGAUGGCUAGAAGAGCAUGAAUGGGUUGACCAUGCAUUAGUCAAAGGGAAAAUGUUCUUGAGGGAAUUUUAUCAUAGUAGUGCAGCAUAAUUUUCAGUGAAGGUUGUGGAGUUUCCGUUGUUGUAAUAAAGUAAUAGGAAGAUGAGUCUCUGACUAUAGUUGUACCUGAUGGGUUUGCCUAUGUAUGACUUGGAAGUCAUUUAUGAAAAGGUUUGGCUCAAGGAGCUUUUUGCUGUUUUGAAUCGCGGUAGUGAUAUAAUUCAGUUUGUUCAGCUAGCGAGCGAAAGUUUUGAAUCACUGAAAGUUGAAGAGGAACUUCAAUCCUUGUUAUUCGUCACUGAAGAUGAUUUGGUUCAGGUUGUUGGUUAUCGAAUCUACAUGGCAACUGUAAUAGAUGCGUCAGUUGAGAAGCCAGAUAUGAGAAACUUAGCCAUGGUACAGAAGUUUUCUGAGGUGUGUCAGGAAGAAUUGCUAAGUCUGCUGUCAGAAAGAGACAUAGAGUUUGCGAUUGAAUUAGCACCCGGAACAGAGCCAGUCCCUAAGGCUCCUUACCGGAUGGUGUUACCCGAGUUAAAAAAAAAAAAACUGAAGGUGUCGAUGCAGGAAGUGUUGGAUAAGGGAUUCAUACUUUCCAGUGCAUCACCUUGGGGAGCAUCAGUUCUGUUCAUAAAGGAGAAAUGUGGUUCGUUGUGGUUGUACAUCGAUAUUCUUCAAGAUCGACUUGAGGUCAGGGUAUCAUCAGUUGAGGAUCAGGAAGAAAGACAUACCAAAGUUAAGACCUCGCACUCGAUACAGUAGUUAUGAGUUCACUGUAAUGUUGUGUGGUUUAAUAGACACCUUAGCUAUUUGUUGGGUCUAAUGAGCAGAAUGUUUGAGGGUAUUUAAAUCAUUUGUGAUCGUGUUCAUUGAAGUUAUCCUAGUGUGUUCAAAGAGUGCUGAGGAGCACGAGAGGCAUUUGGGGAUGGUACUUCAGACCUUGAGUGCUUUUGGAUUUUACAAUAAGUUUAGCAAAUGCGAGUUUUGGAUGACUCGUGUUGUGUUCCCAGGUCAUGUGAUUUCAGGAGAAGGAAUCUCCGUAGACCUCGUAUGAAAUUAAAGCAGUGAUCAGUUGGUCGAGAUUGACUACAGUGAUAGAGAUAAGAAGUUUUUGAGGAUUAACAUGAUAUUUCAGACCGUUCGUAGAAGGGUUUUCAGCGUUAGCGUUACCGUUGACAAGACUACUGAGAAAGGAAGAGAAGUUCGUAUGGACAUGUAGGUGCGAUCGUAGUUUCAAGAGCUUAAGUAGAAGCAGACUACCGCACCUGUGCUGACCAUUCCAUCUGGUCCUGAAAGUUAUGAGGUCUGCAAUGAUGUGUCGUUUAAAGGAUUUGGUUGCUUGUUGAUGCAGCAUGAUAGAGUUGUUGCAUAUGCGUCCUGUCAGUUGAGGCCUUAGGAGUUGAAUAUGAGAUGACGUCACUGGAUGGAACUCAUUAAGGAUUAUGACCAUGAUAUUUUGUAUCACUCUGGAAAGGUGAGCAAAGUUACAGACGUACUGAAUCGAGAGUCCUUAGUUGCACAGUCGGUACUCAAGGAUUUAGAUAUUAUUUGAGAAAGUUCGAAAUUCAAUUUUCGAAUCUAAGGUAGGCCACCUUUUGGAAUCUUAUGACCACCCUCAGAAUUAAGCGGAGAGUAUAGAUCAUAAUCAAAUCGCUUCAGUGGACAGAUUCAGAAAUUCAGAAGAUUCUAUAAGAGAAUGCAAUUGAGAGAGAGGUUGAUUUUCAGAUUUCUGAUGACAGAACGCUAAGGUUCUGAGGACGAUUGUAUGUAAUUGAGAAUGCUGAGAUUAAAGAAUAAAUCUUAUGGGAAGCUCAUCAUAGCAACUUCAGCGUUGUCCAGACAGUAAAAAGAUGAGUCAAAAUCUACAUCAUUGGGAUUGGUAGAUCGGUAUGACGAUAGAUAUCGCCGAACAAGUUGUAAGUGUUGGAUGCGCCAGUAAGUGAGAAAUUGGUAAUGUAAGCUAGGAAAGCUUUUUCAAGUACUGGAGAGAGGUUUGUGUGAGAAUGAAAGUAUAACAUGAUGGAAUGUUAUGACAGGUUAUUAAGGAGUCAGGAAGAGCAUUGAUUCCUUAUGAGGUUGUAGUCGACAGGUGAUCAGAGUCAACUCACCUUAAUGCACGAAAAGAUCUCGAUUGGAAUAGGUAUACCGAAGUGUGUGUAUAUCAUAUAAAUCACCGGCAUGGAGUGCCGAGGAUAAAUUGUAUUUCAAAUCUAGAUCAGAUGUUCCAAGUUUGCAGAGCUUUCAGAUGGUUCCUUCUUAAGCAGUGCAUAGCAGAGAGUGCAGAAUUUCGAUUGCUGAGAUGAAAUCAGGGAAAGAAAGAUCACAAGCCAAGGUCAGAACAGUAGUCAGUGAUUGCAAUUGCCGAGAUCAGUGUCAGAAUUAUAUCAGAUCUUGACCAGAGGUUCUCAGUUUCAGCAAGUGAGUCAGAUAGUUUCUCUUUAAUCAGUGCAGAGCAAAGUGUACAGGAUUUCAGUCGGUUGAGAUGAGAUCAGAGAUUAGAAAAUCGCAGAUUUUGUGUUGAAUACCUUUGGAAUUUUAAGUGGGCAAGCAUUUACUAUUUUGGAACUCGAAGUGGUUUGGGCAAGAUAGUAGUGAUUUGGCAGUAUUGGUACUUAAGGUUACUGAAGGAGCAAUUAGAGAAACCGAAGAUUCAAUGAGACAAUUGUACCCCCACCUUUCUGUUUAAGAAUUGGCAAAUGUUUAAAUUUCGAGGACGAAAUUUUUAUAAGGGGGGAAGAGUUGUGACAUCCCGAUUUUUCCAAUCCUAUUUUCAACAAAUUGAGACGGGCAUUUCGUUGGCACGCAUAUAGUUCUUUUCCUUGAGUCGGCCACUCAUGUGAAAACUAGUAUAUCGGGUGAAACUGUUAAGAAUUUCUAAUGCAUUAGACUCGAGAAUUUGACCAGGAAGCGACCUUUCGACCGAGCUAGUCUGCAAGGGUCAUUACGGCACAAUUAAAAUCGAUUAGAGAUCGGGGAUAGGUCGACUCGACAGAGGCAUGUGAUCAGGUGUGGGUGAUUCCACCAGAUCGCACAAUUCUUGUCGAUCGGCACUUGACCGACUUUUCUAUCGAUUGGGUACCCUGUGUUCGUAUUUGAAACCUUGAGAUUACCCCGACAACCGAAAGUCGCCAAUGUUUCAAAGAUGUACAUUGUGGCUUGAGAUGAUCAACCACAGGUCAAAUGCAUGAAAAUUUCUAAAUGCUACCCGGUAGGUUGGGCCGCGCUAGUAUCGUGCCAAAGUGAAAUUAAUCGUGGGAUUGAGAUCAAAUUCAGAAAUUGGAAGUCUGGGUGUGUCACAAAUCGUUUUAGGAUCAUUAAUUCAUCUUCGGAAGAUUUUUCAUGCAAGCCGAGUUUUUCGGCAAAUUAAUCAAGGUAUGGCUAAUUUGGCUCGAGAAAUUAGUAGGCCCGCUUUUGGUCGUACUUUUGGGAAUUAAGUUGGUUCUACGGAUCAGUGAAGAUGUUAAUUAAGGUGUGGUGACAUUUGAUUAAUUUUAUGGACUUCAAUUGGAUUCAAUUGGAAGAGAAUUGAUGGGAAUUGAAGAAAUUGGAUGUACAAUAAUUGGACCCCGGCGGAAAAAUGAAAGUGCAACCAUUGGAGAAGUUGUGGAGGAUUUGGGUGAGUGGAUUGUGAGGUCAUCCUAGGUCAUGGUGGGCCACCUUGAUUGGAUGAAGGAAAAAGAGAAAAAGAAAAGGGAAAAGAAAAAGAAAUGGCCCCCCUUCUUCUCUCUCCUCCCUCUCUUCUCCCUUCUCUCCCGUGCGACUCCUCCAUCUUCUUCUUCUUGCUGCUCGACGGAACCGAGCAGACCAGCGGAGCCGAAGAAGUCGCACGCCUCCGCCGUUCGCCGUCGCCGCCCGUCCGCACCCUAGCUGCUCCGCCCCUCCACCCGCUCGCCGUCGCUUAGCCGCGCCACCGUCGCCCUCUCUUCUCCAUCUCCAGUUGCUGCUCGUGUCCCAGCAGAUCUGGGAAGACGCCGGAGCAGCCAGCAGUCUAGUCGGACCGCCGUCGCGCCCCGCUUGCCGCCGUCCGCCUCUCGCGACACCCCGCCGUCCUCGCGCAGGAAGCCUGCUCGUCCCUGCUGUUCCGCGAGUCCAGCAGUCAUUCCAGAUCUGGGGAAGCUCAGCCGGAGCCGCCCAGCUCACCUCCGGCCACCGUGAAGCCCCGCCUAGGUCCGGUUCAGCUCCUCCGCCCAUUCCCGACCCCAACCAGCCCCGGAUCUGCUCAUUUUCGGCCCCAACCAGCAGCGAGCAGAGAGUUGGAAAAUGGGUAUGCAGCGGACGUUUGGCCCGUUUUGGCCGCCUUCCCGAGCCCGGAUGCUCGGCCCGCCUUGAGGAAAGUUGUUCUCCUCGGCGUCCCCGUCGUUUUGGUCCGCUCGGCUCGCUAAUCCAGUGAGUUUAGCUCACUAAACCUCGGUUAGAGGGUUAAUUAUGCUUUAGGUGUGCUUAGCUUAAGUUGAUUAAGCUUAGGUGGUUAAUUUAGUUGAUUUAAUUAUGAUUUAGAUUAAGUUGUUUGUUUAAUCUAAAGUAUGUUUAAUUAAAUGCUAAGAGAGUUUAUUUAAAGUUAAGUGGGUGUUUAUAUUAAUAUAAACAUUGAUGUGACAUAAAGGAAUUUACCUUUGGUUUAUUUAAAUAUCUCGAAAUUAUUUAAUAAUUUAAUAAUUUAUUAUUAUUCGAAAUUAUUAAAAUAUUAUUAUUUAAUUAUUUUCGGAAUAAAUUUAAUUAUUUAUUAAAUUCCGAAAAUUUUGGUCGGGACCCUAAAUUCUCAGAAUUUCGUGUCGGUCGCUACGUUACAUUCGGAUUUUGAAAUUGAUGAUUGGAUAUUAUAAAUUGAGUGUGGAUUUCGAAAACUAUGGAUAUUAUUAUUUAAUUAUUUUCGGAAUAAAUUUAAUUAUUUAUUAAAUUCCGAAAAUCUUCAUUGGGACCUUAUUUGCUCAGAAUUUCGUGCCGAUCGUUGCUGUGCAUUUAGAAUUUGAAAUUGAUGAUUGGUUGUGAUGAAUUGAGUGUGAUUGUGAUUUAUAGAGAUUCUUUACGAAAUCCUAAGCGUAGAAAUUGAUGGGAGAUUGGCUGUGAAAUACCACCUAUUAGAGGUCGUGCCCAGAGAGGCCGUGAUAAACCACCUUGGAAAGGUCGUGCCCGAUGAGGCCGUGAAAAACCACCUACAAGAGGUCGUGCCCGAUGAGGCCGUGAAAUACCACCUAUUAGAGGUCGUGCCCAGAGAGGCCGUGAUAAACCACCUAUGAAAGGUCGUGCCCAGAGAGGCCGUGAUAAACCACCUAUGAAAGGUCGUGCCCAGAGAGGCCGUGAUAAACCACCUAUGAGAGGUCGUGCCCAGAGAGGCCGUGAUAAACCACCUUGGAAAGGUCGUGCCCGAUGAGGCCGUGAAAAACCACCUACAAGAGGUCGUGCCCGAUGAGGCCGUGAAUUACCACCUGAUUACAGGUCGUGCCGAGUGGGGCCGUGAUGCCACUGAUUUAAAUUUGCCGAGUAGGGCCGUAGUUGAGAGCAAUGAUUGAUUUGCUAGAAUGACAUGUAAUCGGCCGAGUCGAUUGAUCGCUGAGACGAUCCAAGUGGUUGAAUGGUUUGUUAAUGUGAUUGUGCCAUGGUUGUUUGGUUAUCAUAAUUGUACGUGAUUGGAUUAUAUAAAUUGUGCUAACCUGCAGAUGAAGGCUGAGGCGAGGUAAGUCUUCUGUGUGAUGUGGCUAGGCCACCCGGGGCGUAUUUUCUUUCUAAUAGGGGUUUAGGGGGUUGAACUUGCUGAGACAUCGUCUCAUCCCGGUUGUGGGAUUAAAAUUUCAGGUCCCUGGUGGACGGAGCGGCCAGAUAGCUUUGAUUGGCCUUGAGGAGUUGCAGAGGUGAAGUCAUAAGGGUUGGAGAGCGUGUCCUGCUAGUUGGUUGUAGGAUAGUCCCCCUUUUGUCGAGCUGGUUUAUUUUGUAGAAAG
rnacentral:lncRNA from 1 species